ACGGAGGGUGCAAGCGUUAAUCGGAAUUACUGGGCGUAAAGCGUACGUAGGCGGUUUGUUAAGUCUGUUGUGAAAUCCCCGGGCUCAACCUGGGAACUGCGUUGGAAACUGGGAAGUUUGAGUGUCGUAGAGGGGGGUGGAAUUCCAGGUGUAGCGGUGAAAUGCGUAGAGAUCUGGAGGAAUACCGGUGGCGAAGGCGGCCGCCUGGACGAAGACUGACGCUCAGGUGCGAAAGCGUGGGGAGCAAACAG
rnacentral:rRNA from 1 species